ensembl:misc_RNA 7SK 7SK RNA
GGAUGUGAGGGCGAUCUGGCUGUGACAUCUGUCACCCCACUGGUCACCAGGGUUGAUUCAGCUGAUCUGGCUGGCUAGGCAGGUGUCCCCUUCCUCCCUCACCACUCCAUGUGCAUCGCUCUCGAAGCUGCAUGCUUGGUCAAAGAGGACAGCCAUCCCCGACAGAGGAGGACUGGUCUUUGGCCAAGGGUAUACGAGUAGCUGUGCUCCCCUGCUGGAACCUCCAAACAAGCUGUUAGAGCAACAUAAAACAGUCUUAAGACAUGGAUUAUCUAUGCUGUGAAAUUAAAUGUAGUGUCAAAGCUGU